GACGAACGCUGGCGGCGUGCCUAAUACAUGCAAGUCGAACGCAGGGGGGACGGGUGAGUAACACGUGGGUAACCUCCCAUCAGAGGGGAUAACACUUGGAAACAGGUGCUAAACCGAUACUGAUGGAUGGGCCCGCGGUGCAUUAGCUAGUUGGUGGGGUAACGGCUCACCAAGGCCACGAUGCAUAGCGGACCUGGGAGGGUGACGGGCCACACGGGGACGGGGACACGGCCCGGCCUCCGACGGGAGGCAGCAGUAGGGAACCUUCGGCAAUGGACGAAAGCCUGACCGGGCAACGCCGCGUGAGUGAAGAAGGUUUUCGGAUCGUAAAACUCUGUUGUUAGAGAAGCGGUAUCUAACCAGAAAGCCACGGCUAACUACGUGCCAGCCGCCGCGGUAAUAC
rnacentral:rRNA from 1 species